rnacentral:snRNA from 1 species
UUGCUUUGGCAGCACAUACACUAAAACUGGAACCAUACAGAGAAGAUUUGCUUGACCCCUGGCCCCUUCCUGCACAUUUGCGAAGUAUCCCAUAUUAAA